rnacentral:rRNA from 1 species
AGCGAACGCUGGCGGCAGGCCUAACACAUGCAAGUCGAACGGAUCCUUCGGGAUUAGUGGCGGACGGGUGAGUAACACGUGGGAACGUGCCCUUUGGUUCGGAACAACUCAGGGAAACUUGAGCUAAUACCGGAUGUGCCCUUCGGGGGAAAGAUUUAUCGCCAUUGGAGCGGCCCGCGUCUGAUUAGCUAGUUGGUGAGGUAAAGGCUCACCAAGGCGACGAUCAGUAGCUGGUCUGAGAGGAUGAUCAGCCACAUUGGGACUGAGACACGGCCAUAACUCCUACGGGAUGCAGCAGUGGGUAAUCUUGCGCAAUGGGAGAAAGCCUGACGCAGCCAUGCCGCGUGAAUGAUGAAGGUCUUAGGAUUGUAAAAUUCUUUCACCGGGGACGAUAAUGACGGUACCCGGAGAAGAAGCCCCGGCUAACUUCGUGCCAGCCGCCGCCGUAA